CUUUCUUCCCUCUCUGAUCUGCUCACGUACUGGGAAAUGAAUCCGGACAUCACACCCGUGCUGGGCAGCUCAGUCCUGUAGGAAACACCAAAUAUGACUCUGCAGCUGCAGACCAGGCCUCUAGGCAGGCGGACUCUAGGCGUGAACCAGCAGCUGCAGUCCUGUCCUUUCAGCAAGGAGACACCAGACAGCUGUGGUCCAUCCUAAAGAAACCGCCAGGCUCGCCAGCCGGCUUGAGGCGAGGCCACAGAAGCGGCAAGCUGCCACGGGAACCUCAUGAGCAGUUCGUGGGCGAGUUUCUCUCAACGUCGAAGUUAUCACCAGUUGAGCUCAACAAUGCUAUGUGAGGUAAACCAAUACACGUGUGUCUUUGGUGAAGAAUAGCAAGGCGGAGCAAACCAAACCCAUGCUAAGUGCUCAUCUCCCGCUGUCUGUGGGGUCAAAUUCAUACUCCUGCAUCGAGUGUCCUUCCUUGUGACUGCUGUAUCUAAUCAUCCGUUCACCUGUGUGGCUUCAGAAAAACGUUCCUUCACUUGUUUGCUUUAGCAAGACAUCCUUUCACCUGUGUGCCCCUGCAAAACAUCAUUUGAUAUAACUAACAUUCCCAAAACUAGAAGUUUCUACUUCACUCUGUCAUCCUACUGAAAAACAGUGUCGAAGGUAGAGGAGAAGAUGGCACGGAACCUGCACAAGGCAAAAGGAUGAACAGGACCAGCCAGCUCCAUCCUCGGCACUGCAAGCACAAUGCAUCUCUGUAGCUCCCACGAAGACUGGAAUGCAAGUAGGCUAGAAGUCUCUUAAACCCCCAGAGAAGCCUUGGGCAGGGAUUCGAGCCACCAGACUCCUUGAAGGUUGUGUUCCUAAACGAAGGUGACUAGUAGAUGUGUCAAGCGUGUAUUUAUCUCUCAUCUCCAGCCCUUACAGCUUGCCCUACAGUAGGUUUUCAAUACGAGUUGGGACUUGCGUUUUAUAAAUCACGAGCAUAGAUGGUAAAUUCUUUUUCUUCCGUUGCCGAUGCUCAUGGGAAGCAUGCUGUGUGUUUUGUUAAUGUUUCCUCCCCGAAGGCUGAGCGCUUGGUGAACAUCUGUCUGCUCACACCUGUUGGGCUGGUUUACACGGCAGUCUGAAAGGCAUACAUGCCAGGGUAAUUGCAUUUGGAGUUCCUUCCCUUGGAGAAAUCUGUCGGAAGGAUCCAGGACCAGAUAUUUCUCCCACUGACGAGUUCAUCAUCUUGCCUAAAGAAGAGCCAGUAUUUCUGCCUCUCAUAAGUUUAAUGCAUGCUGCAACAUGAAUCGGAUGAGCUUGAGAACCAGGAAGCAUGAAUAUUUCAUACAGCAUGAAUUGCCAGACUUAAAAAUCACCUCACGGGACCGACUCUCCAGCUCAGGUGCAAAGACCAGGGAACAAAUACGGUCCUGAAGCCAAACCAGGCUCUUCCAGACAGGGCCGACACUCAGGCAAAGGAACAGUGGCCUGUGUUGCAGGUGUGAGCCACCACUCUCAGCUCCUGCCGCCCUCAUUGUGACCUUGGGUCCUCAGCACAUGCUCGCACUUGUGACUACAGACUUCCCAGCUCUAGAACUACAUGCUAGCCCUGGCUGUCUUGGAAGUCGUUCUGUAGACCAAGUUGGUCUCAAACUCAUAGAUGUCUGCCUGCUUCUUUUUACAGAGUGCUGGAGGUCUGUGUGCCGCAGACAGAACGAAGAGGGCAUCAGAUCACUUGGAACUGGAGUUAAAGACAGCUGUGAGUCACCAUGGAGAUGCUGGGAAUUGAAACUAGGCCUUCUGUGAGAGCAGCAGCUGGCAGAGCCGUCUCUCCACCACAAAGUUUUAAACAUAAAUACCCUACCGAUUCACAACUGCACCUGUCGUGCAAGUGUGCAGUCCCUUAGUUCGCUGUUUCUACUUCCCUUUUAAAGAAAAAAUAAACAAACUUAACAAUG
rnacentral:lncRNA from 1 species